rfam:Sorghum bicolor cultivar BTx623 chromosome 9, whole genome shotgun sequence.
GGAUGUGAUCAUACCAGCACUAAAGCACCGGAUCCCAUCAGAACUCCGAAGUUAAGCGUGCUUGGGCGAGAGUAGUACUAGGAUGGGUGACCUCCUGGGAAGUCCUCGUGUUGCAUUCC